rnacentral:rRNA from 1 species
AUGGAGAAGACAGCGAAGAAGGCAGCUAGGAAGGCGGAUAAGGGAGACAAGACAGACAAGGCACUUUGGGAUGCAUACCAUAAUAGGAUAUUUUGCGAGUUGUGUGCGAGGGAAGUUGAAGCAGGCCAUAGUCUGGGGACGUUCUUGAGUCCUAGAGGAUAUAAGAAUUUGGGGGAGAGCUGGUUGCAGAUAACUAAGAAAAGUUAUGUGAGGAUGCAAUUCAAGAAUAGAUGGGAAAAUCUCAAAACUAUGUAUUGUCAAUGGAAACAAUUGCAAAUUGACGCAUCUGGACUUGGAUGGAAUGCUAAGCUAGGAACCAUUGAUGCUGAUACUGAUUGGUGGAACACUCACCUAAUGAAACACCCAGAGCAUGCAAAGUAUAGGAAUGCAGGACCACCCAACUUGGCUGAAAUGGACCUCAUGUUUGAUGACCGUCAUGUCACCGGUGCCGAGUCCGCUAUCCCCGGUGAGAUACCAUUGGACAAGGAGGAAGUCACUAUUGACGAUGACUCUGAUAGUGCAGAGGAUGAUGAUGAAGUCAUCAAAGCAAAACCAAAGAAGCAGCGCAAGACCAAGUCCUGUAAAGAUGAUUUUUCUGCUCUAGAUGAGAAGAACCCAUUUGUUCAGAUGUACAAGAAGGCUAGUGAUGCGAUAUGUGUAACGGCUGAAAGUAUAAAAGAAGCAUCUAGCUCCAGCAAGACUCAUCCUCCCCCUUCUCCUCCGGUUGCUCCUGCCCCUCCUCCUCCAGUUGGCCCUAGUAUGUACGGAUUAUGA